rnacentral:rRNA from 1 species
UCCCAGACUCCUACGGGAGGCAGCAGUGAGGAAUAUUGGUCAAUGGCCGGAAGGCUGAACCAGCCAAGCCGCGUGAAGGACGAAGGUGCCAAGCAUUGUAAACUUCUUUUGUCAAGGGACAAAAUCAGGCUCGAGAGCCUGACCGAGGGUACUUGAAGAAAAAGCAUCGGCUAACUCCGUGCCAGCAGCCGCGGUAAUACGGAGGAUGCGAGCGUUAUCCGGAUUUAUUGGGUUUAAAGGGUGCGUAGGCGGACUGGUAAGUCGGGGGGGAAAUCGUGGGGCGCAACCCCGGCCAGCCGUUGAAACUGGGGAUCUAGAGUGUGCGAGAGGUAUGCGGAAUGCGUGGUGUAGCGGUGAAAUG